GGAAAGGGCUGUAGGUCAGUAGUAGGGCAUCUGCCUGUAAUGUUCUUCAAUCCAAAAGAAUCUGAGCUGAAUCUCAUCUAUGGCAACCACUACAAAAACCCCUGUUCCUGGGGUGACCAAAAACCAAUACAUCACUGUCAUGGUGCCUUGCAUGCAGAAGAUCCCAGGGUUCAAUCCCUAGCAUUUCCA